rnacentral:lncRNA from 1 species
GAGCAGCUCUUGCUGGAUGGGAAAUCCCUCAGUGUGAACACAGUUGUUUGACCACUUCACACAACUGGCUCCUUGAAAAUAGAAAAGACUCUGCAUUGAAUAAUGACAGUUCUUUGAAUGGGAUUUUUAAGACUUGAAUACGAAACUGACUGCUCUACUAUGAAGGAAUGCAGCUUCCAAGGGCAACAGACUAUUGAGUCAGCUGGAGAGCAAAGGAACGUUUUCCCUCUGAUAAGCCUUCAAGAAGUGACCCUUCUACAAUUAAUUGAUAACAGCAGGUUGUGUAGUCGUGUGGAUACUUUGCUGGCUCUAAAACAGCAUUUGUGCUCCUUGAGGAAGUAUCAGCUAUUAUUCUGAGUUUGUUUCAAAUUAAAAAUAAAUCCAAGAUUUCUUGAAAGCCCCA